GUGGGGGAUAUUGCACAAUGGAGGAAACUCUGAUGCAGCGACGCCGCGUGAGUGAAGAAGUAUUUCGGUAUGUAAAGCUCUAUCAGCAGGGAAGAAAAUGACGGUACCUGACUAAGAAGCCCCGGCUAACUACGUGCCAGCAGCCGCGGUAAUACGUAGGGGGCAAGCGUUAUCCGGAUUUACUGGGUGUAAAGGGAGCGUAGACGGCGAUGCAAGUCUGAAGUGAAAUACCCGGGCUCAACCUGGGAACUGCUUUGGAAACUGUAUGGCUAGAGUGCUGGAGAGGUAAGCGGAAUUCCUAGUGUAGCGGUGAAAUGCGUAGAUAUUAGGAAGAACACCAGUGGCGAAGGCGGCUUACUGGACAGUAACUGACGUUCAGGCUCGAAAGCGUGGGGAGCAAACAGGAUUAGAAACCCUAGUAGUCC
rnacentral:rRNA from 1 species